GACGAACGCUGGCGGCGUGCUUAACACAUGCAAGUCGUACGGUAAGGCCCUUUCGGGGUUACACGAGUGGCGAACGGGAGAGUAAAACGUGUGUAACCUGCCCACAACUUUGGGAUAACGCUAGGAAACUGGCGCUAAUACUGGAUAUGUGCUCCUGCUGCAUGGUGGGGGUUGGGAAGCUCCGGCGGAUGUGGCUGGACUCGCGGCCUAUCAGCUUGUUGGUGGGGUAGUGGCCUACCGAGGCGGCGACGGGUAGCCGGCCUGAGAGGGUGACCGGCCACAUUGGGACUGAGAUACGGCCCAGACUCCUACGGGGGGCAGCAGUGGGGAAUAUUGCACAAUGGGCGCAAGCCUGAUGCAGCAACGCCGCGUGCGGGAUGACGGCCUUCGGGUUGUAAACCGCUUUCAGCAGGGACGAAGCUUUUUGUGACGGUACCUGCAGAAGAAGCACCGGCUAACUACGUG
rnacentral:rRNA from 1 species